CUGGAGGUGGAGCAAAUGGAGUCCUUGAAGUCAAGCCGACUCUGCUCCGGACCUCCGAAAUGGAAAAGGUAGAUAGAACAGGUCUUGUGGCACAGUCAACGCAAGGCCUGCUUCUCUACCAACACAG